CGAAAGCCUGACGGAGCAACGCCGCGUGAGGGAUGAAGGCCUCUGGGCUGUAAACCUCUUUUCUCAAGGAAGAAGACCUGACGGUACUUGAGGAAUAAGCCACGGCUAAUUCCGUGCCAGCAGCCGCGGUAAUACGGGAGUGGCAAGCGUUAUCCGGAAUUAUUGGGCGUAAAGCGUCCGCAGGCGGCCUUGAAAGUCUGUCGUUAAAGCGUGGAGCUUAACUCCAUUUCGGCGGUGGAAACUACAAGGCUUGAGUGUGGUAGGGGCAGAGGGAAUUCCCGGUGUAGCGGUGAAAUGCGUAGAUAUCGGGAAGAACACCAGUGGCGAAGGCGCUCUGCUGGGCCAUAACUGACGCUCAUGGACGAAAGCCAGGGGAGCGAAAG
rnacentral:rRNA from 1 species